GACGAACGCUGGCGGCGUGCUUAACACAUGCAAGUCGAACGGAAAGGCCUGCUUUCCCUUGUGGAUUGCGGGUACUCGAGUGGCGAACGGGUGAGUAACACGUGAGUGAUCUGCCCCCAACUUGGGUAUAAGCCUGGGAAACUGGGUCUAAUUCCCGAUAGGACUGCAGGGUGGUGCCUGUGGUGGAAAACGAUUUUCUAGUGGUUGGGGAUGAGCUCGCGGCCUAUCGGCUUGUUGGUGGGGUAAUGGCCUACCAAGGCGGCGACGGGUAGCCGGCCUGAGAGGGUGGACGGCCACAUUGGGACUGAGAUACGGCCCAGACUCCUACGGGAGGCAGCAGUGGGGAAUAUUGCACAAUGGGCGGAAGCCUGAUGCAGCGACGCCGCGUGGGGGAUGACGGCCUUCGGGUGGUAAACUCCUUUCGACCGCGAGGAAGCCACCUGGUUGGAAGGGUGGUGACGGUAGUGGUAGAAGAAGCACCGGCUAACUACGUG
rnacentral:rRNA from 1 species